CUUCGCGCGCCUCCUGCGCCCCGGGGUGGGGCUGGCCGGGCUACUCGGGCCACGCAGCUGGAACCUGGAAAUUAGGAUUGGAAUCCUGAACUCCUAAAUCCAAACUACAGACUGGAAGUUACCAAAAAAUGUCACAGUGGUUCCUUGAUCAGGUAGAAAGAUGACAGAGCCCAACAUACCAGAACCUAGAAAGGAGGCGAAGGAGGCGGUCUAGAGGGAAGAGCACUUUGGUCAAAGGAUCAGGUGCAUAAAUGCGGAGGAAUGAGGAUGCCCGGCUUGCUGGAGGAUCAAGGGAAGAUGGCCUGCAGGAGCCAAGAAGUCUGGAGCAGCCAAAAAAACACAAAAGAAGUGCAACAAAAGAAGCUCCUGCCUUGACUGAUUGACCAGCCUUACGACGUUCCACCAUUAUGAAUUGUUCCUGUCCUGCCCCAACUGAUCAAUCGACCUUGUGACAUUCUUCUUCUGGACAAUGAAUCUUAUGAUCUCCCCACCAUGGACCCUGUGACCCCCUCCUCUGCUGACAAUAGAUAACCACCUCUAACUGUAACAUUCCACUGCCUACCUCAGUCCUAUAAAGCUGCCCCUCUCCUAUCUACCUUCGCUGACUCUCUUUUCGUACUCAGCCCACUUGCACCCAAGUGAAUAAACAGCCCUGUUGCUCACACAAA